rnacentral:rRNA from 1 species
GACGAACGCUGGCGGCGUGCUUAACACAUGCAAGUCGAACGGAAAGGCUCCAGCUUGCUGGAGUACUCGAGUGGCGAACGGGUGAGUAACACGUGGGUAAUCUGCCCUGCACUCUGGGAUAAGCCUGGGAAACUGGGUCUAAUACUGGAUAUGACCUUUCUCCUUAUGGGGUUUGGUGGAAAGUUUUUCGGUGUAGGAUGAGCCCGCGGCCUAUCAGCUUGUUGGUGGGGUGAUGGCCUACCAAGGCGACGACGGGUAGCCGGCCUGAGAGGGUGAUCGGCCACAUUGGGACUGAGAUACGGCCCAGCCUCCUACGGGAGGCAGCAGUGGGGAAUAUUGCACAAUGGGCGGAAGCCUGAUGCAGCGACGCCGCGUGAGGGAUGACGGCCUUCGGGUUGUAAACCUCUUUCAGCAGGGACGAAGCGUAAGUGACGGUACCUGCAGAAGAAGCACCGGCUAACUAUGUG